AUAGCCUUUCGAAAGAAAGAUUAAUACCCGAUGGCAUAAUAGAACCGCAUGGUUUGAUUAUUAAAGAAUUUCGGUUAUCGAUGGGGAUGCGUUCCAUUAGGCAGUUGGUGGGGUAACGGCCCACCAAACCUUCGAUGGAUAGGGGUUCUGAGAGGAAGGUCCCCCACAUUGGAACUGAGACACGGUCCAAACUCCUACGGGAGGCAGCAUG
rnacentral:rRNA from 1 species